rnacentral:rRNA from 1 species
UACGUAGGGGACAAGCGUUGUCCGGAAUUAUUGGGCGUAAAGAGCGUGUAGGCGGCUAUUUAAGUCCUGCGUGAAAUCCUGCGGCUCAACCGCAGACGGUCGUGGGAAACUGGAUGGCUAGAGUGCGGGAGAGGAGAGUGGAAUUCCCGGUGUAGCGGUGAAAUGCGCAGAUAUCGGGAAGAACACCCGUGGCGAAGGCGGCUCUCUGGAACGCAACUGACGCUGAGACGCGAAAGCGUGGGGAGCAAACAGG